rnacentral:rRNA from 1 species
UACAGAGGUCUCAAGCGUUGUUCGGAUUCAUUGGGCGUAAAGGGUGCGUAGGUGGCGCGGUAAGUCGGGUGUGAAAUCUCGGAGCUUAACUCCGAAAUUGCAUUCGAUACUGCCGUGCUUGAGGACUGGAGAGGAGACUGGAAUUCAUGGUGUAGCAGUGAAAUGCGUAGAGAUCAUGAGGAAGACCAGUGGCGAAGGCGGGUCUCUGGGCCGAUACUGACACUGAGGAGCGAAAGCGUGGGGAGCGAACAGG